CAAUAGCGUAUAUUAAAGUUGUUGCAGUUAAAAAGCUCGUAGUUGAAUUUUUGCUUGCCGCCGAUGUCAGAACUUCCGUACGUUCGGCGGCGUGCAUCCUUGGGUGGAACCUGUGUGGCAUUAGGUUGUCGUGCAGGGGAUGCUCAUCGUUUACUGUGAAAAAAUUAGAGUGUUCAAAGCAGGCUUACGCCGUUGAAUAUAUUAGCAUGGAAUAAUAAGAUAGGACCUUGGUACUAUUUUGUUGGUUUGCGCACCGAGGUAAUGAUUAACAGGGACAGUUGGGGGUAUUCGUAUUCCAUUGUCAGAGGUGAAAUUCUUGGAUUUCUGGAAGACGAACUACUGCGAAAGCAUUUACCAAGGAUGUUUUCAUUAA
rnacentral:rRNA from 1 species